rnacentral:rRNA from 1 species
GACAACAGGGAUUGCCCUAGUAACGGCGAGUGAAGCGGCAACAGCUCAAAUUUGAAAUCUGGCUCUUUCAGAGUCCGAGUUGUAAUUUGCAGAGGGCGCUUUGGCUUUGGCAGCGGUCCAAGUUCCUUGGAACAGGACGUCACAGAGGGUGAGAAUCCCGUACGUGGUCGCUAGCUAUUGCCGUGUAAAGCCCCUUCGACGAGUCGAGUUGUUUGGGAAUGCAGCUCUAAAUGGGAGGUAAAUUUCUUCUAAAGCUAAAUAUUGGCCAGAGACCGAUAGCGCACAAGUAGAGUGAUCGAAAGAUGAAAAGCACUUUGGAAAGAGAGUCAAACAGCACGUGAAAUUGUUGAAAGGGAAGCGCUUGCAGCCAGACUUGCUUGCAGUUGCUCAUCCGGGCUUUUGCCCGGUGCACUCUUCUGCAGGCAGGCCAGCAUCAGUUUGGGCGGUGGGAUAAAGGUCUCUGUCAUGUACCUCUCUUCGGGGAGGCCUUAUAGGGGAGGCGACAUACCACCAGCCUAGACUGAGGUCCGCGCAUCUGCUAGGAUGCUGGCGUAAUGGCUGUAAGCGGCCCGUCUUGAAACACGGACCAAGGAGUCUAACAUCUAUGCGAGUGUUUGGGUGUCAAGCCCGAGCGCGUAAUGAAAGUGAACGGAGGUGGGAACCCGCAAGGGUGCACCAUCGACCGAUCCUGAAGUUUACGGAAGGAUUUGAGUAAGAGCAUGGCUGUUGGGACCCGAAAGAUGGUGAACUAUGCUUGAAUAGGGUGAAGCCAGAGGAAACUCUGGUGGAGGCUCGCAGCGGUUCUGACGUGCAAAUCGAUCGUCAAAUUUGGGCAUAGGGGCGAAAGACU